rnacentral:tRNA from 2 species
CGGGCCGUAGCACAGUUUGGUAGUGCGCCACGCUGGGGGUGUGGAGGUCGGAGGUUCGAAUCCUCUCGGCCCGACCA